UCUCCCAUAGAGUUGGUCAAGGGAGUUUUGGGUUUGGGUCACUUGACCCUGUGUUUAUAUAUACAUGCACUGUAUAGGUUUGAUUAAGCCAAGGAAUAUGAAAACCCUUUCUCCCAAGUCUCUCUCUCUCUUCUCCCUCUCUCUUCAGCUAUUCUCCAUGCCCCAGGAGCAAGAAACUCUAGGGUUUCUUGCCGCCAGGUCCAUAGAAGGCAGGAAAAGUAGGGGAGGCACUAGGGUUUUGAGCCUCUCCCCCUUUGUGCCGCCAACCAUAUUGCCUC
rnacentral:lncRNA from 1 species